rnacentral:rRNA from 1 species
UUGGGCCCUUUUUUGGGGCUUCCGGUGACAAUCCGGAGGAAGGUGGGGAAGGCGUCAAGUUCUCAUGGCCCUUUUGUCCAGGGCUUCACACGUAAUACAAUGGUCGGUACAGAGGGCAGCCACCCCGCGAGGGGGAGCCAAUCCCAGAAAGCCGUUCGUAGUCCGGAUUGCAGUCUGCAACUCGACUGCAUGAAGUCGGAAUCGCUAGUAAUCCCGGAUCAGCAUGUCGGGGUGAAUACGUUCCCGGGCCUUGUACACACCGCCCGUCACACCAUGGGAGUGGGUUGUACCAGAAGUAGUUAGUCUAACCGCGAGGGGGAAGAUUACCACGGUAGGAUUCAUGAUUGGGGUGAAGUCGUAACAAGGUAACC